rnacentral:rRNA from 1 species
GGCGCACGGGUGAGUAACGCGUAAGUAACCUAUCCUCGCAUCUGGGAUAACCCACCGAAAGGUGUGCUAAUACCGGAUACGUCUACGUUUAAACGAUUAUUUGUAGAGAAAGGUGGCCUCUGAUUCAAGCUACUGUGCAGGGAGGGGCUUGCGUACCACUAGCUAGUUGGUAGGGUAACGGCCUACCAAGGCAAUGAUGGUUAGCGGGUCUGAGAGGAUGAUCCGCCACACUGGAACUGGAACACGGACCAGACUCCUACGGGAGGCAGCAGUGAGGAAUAUUGCGCAAUGGGGGCAACCCUGACGCAGCGACGCCGCGUGGAUGAUGAAGGCCUUCGGGUUGUAAAAUCCUGUCAGAUGGGAAGAAGUGCAUCAUGUAUAAUACAUAUGGUGUUUGACGGUACCAUCAAAGGAAGCACCGGGCUAACUCCGUGCCAGCAGCCGCGGUAAUACGGAGGGUGCAAGCGUUGUUCGGAAUUACUGGGCGUAAAGCGCGCGUAGGCGG